AUUGAACGCUGGCGGCAGGCCUAACACAUGCAAGCCGAGCGGCAGCGGGAAAGUAGCUUGCUACUUUUGCCGGCGAGCGGCGGACGGGUGAGUAAUGCCUGGGGAUCUGCCCAGUCGAGGGGGAUAACUACUGGAAACGGUAGCUAAUACCGCAUACGCCCUACGGGGGAAAGCAGGGGACCUUCGGGCCCUGCGCGAUUGGAUGAACCCAGGUGGGAUUAGCUAGUUGGUGAGGUAAUGGCUCACCAAGGCGACGAUCCCUAGCUGGUCUGAGAGGAUGAUCAGCCGCACUGGAUCUGAGACACGGUCCAGACUCCUACGGGAGGCAGCAGUGGGGAAUAUUGCACAAUGGGGGAAACCCUGAUGCAGCCAUGCCGCGUGUGUGAAGAAGGCCUUCGGGUUGUAAAGCACUUUCAGCGAGGAGGAAAGGUUGAUGCCUAAUACGUAUCAACUGUGACGUUACUCGCAGAAGAAGCACCGGCUAACUCCGUGCCAGCCGCCGCGGUAAAAC
rnacentral:rRNA from 1 species